UAAGGAAUAUUGGUCAAUGGAGGCAACUCUGAACCAGCCAUGCCGCGUGCAGGAAGACUGCCCUAUGGGUUGUAAACUGCUUUUAUCCGGGAAUAAACCUCUGCUCGUGAGCAGAGCUGAAUGUACCGGAAGAAUAAGGAUCGGCUAACUCCGUGCCAGCAGCCGCGGUAAUACGGAGGAUCCAAGCGUUAUCCGGAUUUAUUGGGUUUAAAGGGUGCGUAGGCGGCCUGUUAAGUCAGGGGUGAAAGACGGUAGCUCAACUAUCGCAGUGCCCUUGAUACUGAUGGGCUUGAAUGGACUAGAGGUAGGCGGAAUGAGACAAGUAGCGGUGAAAUGCAUAGAUAUGUCUCAGAACACCGAUUGCGAAGGCAGCUUACUAUGGUCUUAUUGACGCUGAGGCACGAAAGCGUGGGGAGCAAACA
rnacentral:rRNA from 1 species